GGGUCGUUAACUCAGCUCGGUAGAGUAUCUGCCUUUUAAGCAGAGAGUCGUGGGUUCAAAUCCCGCACGACCCACCA
rnacentral:tRNA from 1 species